GCCCCUGUAGCUCAACUGGAUAGAGCGCUUCGCUUCGGACGAAGAGGUUUGCGGGUUCAAAUCCUGCCAGGGGUA
rfam:Candidatus Daviesbacteria bacterium RIFCSPLOWO2_01_FTLL_40_24 rifcsplowo2_01_scaffold_13615, whole genome shotgun sequence.